rnacentral:lncRNA from 1 species
AACAGACUCUUAACCUUUUAAUUAAUAUAGUAGAUUUGGAUAUUUAUUAUUGUGUUUUUGAAAUUUCCUUAUAUAAUAGGAUCACUUAGGUCUUUCGAUAAAUGAGAUUAGUAGAAUGAAAAGUAUAGUAUUCUCAAUUAUGCAGUUUCUUGGAAUUUUGAGAAAUCAAAAGUAUGUUUGAUGAAAAUUAAAAUUAGAUUUUUUGAUAGAUUGUAAUAGUAGUUUUUGAAAUGUGUAAUUGAAAAAUUGUAGGACCAAUAAAAGAUGUGAUUAAUAUUGAUUAUUCGAUUUCGACUUAACUUAAAAUCAGAUUUUAAUGAUAACAAAACACGGGCAUGUCUAUAUUUCUGGUAUUAACGAGAGUAUGAACAGAAACUAGAAGGAUGUUUACCAAUUUCUUGUUUCCACGCUUGCGUACGUGCUAUUCUACAUCAUCAUUGCAUAGGAUUACUGAAUACAGUAAAUAAUGACGUUUUAAAUCCCUAAUUUUACAUGUUAAACCUUCUUAGGCGACCAAUGAGGCAGAGUUUCUUUUUCUUCAUAGUCAUUGAGUAAACUCUAAAAUGUAUUUAGCCCUUGUUUGAUAGAGAUUAAAAUCAUAUUUUUUGUUAAUUUUAAUAAAAUUUAAUUAAAUAUAUGAUUGAAAAGUAAUAGAUUCUAUCAAAUGUGUAAUUAAAAUUAAUUUUUGAAUUUGACUUUUAAAAUAAAAUCUAAAUUUUAAUUUCUAUCAAACAAAUGCUGGUAAUUAGGAAGGUUACAGGCUUUGACAUGCUGUAGACAUGCUAACUACCAUCUGAAAGUUUAAUACAGAGUUUUCUCCUACUCCUUCCGGAUUGUACUAAAAAAUUCGACAUUCAAGCGAAAAGUCACUCACAUUUUCAUAAAUCAUCCUGCAAGAAAUUUCAGACAUGGAACGAAAGAAGUAGAAGAUGCUAGCUUAUUAGUUUUAUAAUUAUUGACGGUUGAUUUUGUGAUACAAUUGGGGAAUAUUUAUUCAUCUUAUUUUUAAAAGCUAAGCGAAAUUAAGAACGAACCCAAAACGAGUUUAUUAUUUUCAUAUGAGAAAAAUAUGUUAUUGAUUAAAUUUGAGCAGAUAUUUGAAAAAAAAGAAAUCCACAAAUAAUUUAAAUUCUUAGAAAAAUGAAUUAACGGUAAGAAAUUAAGAAAGAGCAUCAUCAAUAAUCAGAAAUAAAAUGUUGUUCUCAUACACAGCAUUGUCAGACUGUGUCAGAAGGUGUCCUAAGAUUUUCUGAUUUCAUCAUCUUGAUGAUACACAAAAUGAAAAAUGAAAAAUUCAAAAUAUUUAUUGUAUAUAUGUGUUAAAAAAACAAAAAAAUAUUAAUUGGAAAAAGAAUUAAGUAAAAUAGUUAAUUAAGAUUCGAAGAAAAGGGCAAUUUGAAUCAGAAAGAACGCAGCAAAAAGGAUUAGAAUUGAUCAGAUGGGAUUAACCAUCACCUUUUACUCCUUUCAUCAUCUCCAAUAUAAGCAAAAUACACAAAUUACACGAAGAACUUGCCUGUUCGUCUACCGGCUGCGUGUGAGAGUAGAGAUGAGCCAGACCGCGGAAGGAGGAGAACUCGUCGAAGACCUAAAACUCCAGUGUGUCUAAUUUAUAGAGAACUGAAAAAGAACAGGGACAAGCAAACCCUAGGGGAAGGGAGUGUAAUUUGGAGACGGACUGGAUCUGGCAUUCAAAUUCAGAUUUAGAUGUAACCUAUAUGGAUCAACUCAAGACGGCCCAUGUGAGAUACAUCUAAUAGUACUGGGUAAGAACAACCUAAACAAAUACUAAAGGGGACGUCAUCAAACUAUUUCGAGUUUUA